rnacentral:snRNA from 1 species
GGAUGUGAAGGUGAUCUGCCUGCAACAUCUGUCACCCCAUGGAUCACCAGGCUGAUCUAGCUGGCUAGGUGUGUGUCUUCUUCCUUACUCAGUGCUCCAUGUGCAUCCAUCCCAAAGCUGUGUACUCAGUGGAACAAGAUGUCAUCCCAGAUAGAAGUGUACCAAUCUUCAGUCAAGCUAUACAAUAGUUGUGCUCCCUGUAGACUAUAUUAACAUCUGUCAAAAGUAUUUUGCCUCAGAUAUGAUCACACCAGUGUUUGAGUAAGGAUGGUACUGGAAUUGACCAUUAUUGAUAUUUUAUAAAGUAAAACCAUUGUUUAAU